ACACACGAGGACCGAAGCCAUCUGGACUAUUCGAUGACACGACAGCACCAUGCUUUGCCCGCUCAGAAGCCCCAGCCUCAGGCAGCAUCGACAACUGCUUUCACACGGAAAGAGAAGAGCAGAGUUGCCACAGAGAGCAACCCUUUUUGGCUCCUCACAGGGAAACUGCGCCGACACCUGCUUCCGUUUUCUUGCAUUUGGAAUUUCACCCAAGGACGAGGAGCCUGCACCUAAGAACAGCCAGAAAGGACAAAAGCUGGGUCCUGACCGCCCCACGGCCACCAGGCACAAAAGCGAGCACUCAGGAGGCAUACGACAAUACGAACUAAAUGAACUAGAUCACCAGAAUGUUCUUCCUCAAAGAACAGCCACUAACAUUACUGUGGACAAAUGUCUAAAAGUAGUAUC